GUGAUGCAACACAGAAGAGUUGACUUGGUGGAAAAAAAAAAUAUAAAUAUAUUUCUUUGUUACUUCCACAGGAUCCUUAUAAAAUAGGCUAGACUAUCCCAUUAAAACUUGCUUCUUGAAUGCUUCUGAUCUGCUGCCUCAAACAGUUUCAAGCUUGUUAGUUUUGCUUGGUGUACUUCACUUGUGUUUUGUUGCAAGAGUAGGGACUACCAUCUAUAAGAAAGGAACUCAUAUCAGCUCCUGGGCCUGAGCCCAAUCUUGGCUGAUAACUUUCAGGAUAGAUACUAUGCAAUGACUAAACAAGUAAAUAUAGCAAGAAAUCACUUUUUAGAAAAUGCUGAAAGGCAGGGUUUUUUAUUUUUAUUUUUAUUCAUUUUCUUCAGCAAAGCAACUGGGAAGGUAAUCUUCAAGACCUGGUUAGAUGCCAAAGGACACAAAAAAGAGCUCUGUGGUGGAGCUCAGAUAUUAAUCUUACUCUCCUGUGAUGAGGAAUCAGACUGUGCAGCAUCAGAACAGCACAGCAACAUCACUGCCCCACACCUGUCAGCACAGCCAAAGCUGCACACCUCCGUGGGUUAACUCCUUUAUGUUCUCUGGGAAAGAAAAGGAGUUGUGAUAUAGAACAAAAUGACUGCUGGUCUACAGCCAUCCUCAUGGCACUUGGCUUCUUCCCAACUGCUUUAAGCACUUGUGUUAUCCAAAGCAGGAAUGCAGACACUUGAUACCCAUUGCAUAAAGGCCAGUGGCCCCUGGAGAGGAUCUGGGUUUCAGCUGAGCUACUUGUCUGUGGAGGUAGGUACUUGUCUUCUGUCUAUUAUCAGGGGUCUGCAAACCAUAUGGCAUGGGCCAGAGGUGCUUGAAGUUAGAUGGAGAGAGCAGGUCUUUGUGUAAACAUCCUAUUCUCUACAGCAUUGCAUGUGAGAGACAAGACUUUACGAGGCAGGAAGGGGGCGAGAGAGGGUGUUCUUGGACAGAUGUGACUGCCUCCAGUAUCCCAGGUAUAUCUAAAAAAAUUUCUUACACUGCAAGUCUAUCUUACCAGCAUAAAAUAAAAUCAAGGAAUGAGUUGGAUUGGAAAGGACC
rnacentral:lncRNA from 1 species